rnacentral:tRNA from 1 species
UCCCCGAUAGCUCAAUUGGUAGAGUGGGCGGCUGUUAACCGCUAGGUUGUAGGUUCGAGUCCUACUCGGGGAGCCA